UUGAACGCUGGCGGCAUGCUUUACACAUGCAAGUCGAACGGCAGCGGGGGCUUCGGCCUGCCGGCGAGUGGCGAACGGGUGAGUAAUGCAUCGGAACGUACCCAGUCGUGGGGGAUAACUACGCGAAAGCGUAGCUAAUACCGCAUACGUCCUGAGGGAGAAAGCGGGGGAUCUUCGGACCUCGCGCGAUUGGAGCGGCCGAUGUCGGAUUAGCUAGUAGGUGAGGUAAAGGCUCACCUAGGCGACGAUCCGUAGCGGGUCUGAGAGGAUGAUCCGCCACACUGGGACUGAGACACGGCCCAGACUCCUACGGGAGGCAGCAGUGGGGAAUUUUGGACAAUGGGCGCAAGCCUGAUCCAGCCAUGCCGCGUGAGUGAAGAAGGCCUUCGGGUUGUAAACCGCUUUCAGCCGGAAAGAAAUCGCCACUUCUAAUACGAGUGGUGGAUGACGGUACCGGAAGAAGAAGCACCGGCUAACUACGU
rnacentral:rRNA from 1 species